CCUGGUUGAUCCUGCCAGUAGUCAUAUGCUUGUCUCAAAGAUUAAGCCAUGCAUGUGUAAGUAUGAACUAUUUCAGACUGUGAAACUGCGAAUGGCUCAUUAAAUCAGUUAUAGUUUGUUUGAUGGUACGUGCUACUCGGAUAACCGUAGUAAUUCUAGAAGGCUGACGUGGGCUUUGCCCGCUGCUACGUGCAACAAACCCCGACUUCCGGAAGGGAUGCAUUUAUUAGAUAAAAGGCUGAAGUGGGCUUUGCCCGCUGCUCCGAUGAUUCAAGAUAACUCGACGGAUCGCACGGCCCUCGUGCCGACGACGCAUCAUUCAAAUUUCUGCCCUAUCAACUUUCGAUGGUAGGAUAGGGGCCUACCAUGGUGGUGACGGGUGAUGGAGAAUUAGGGUUCGAUUCCGAGAGGGAGCCCGAGAAACGGCUACCACAUCCAAGGAAGGCAGCAGCGCCAAAAAUUACCCAAUCGACACGGGGGGAGGUAGUGACAAUAAAUAACAAUACCGGGCUCUUCGAAACGGUAAUUGGAAUGAGUACAAUCUAAAUCCCUUAACGAGGAUCCAUUGGAGGGCAAGUCCGGUGCCGCCACUGUGGUAAUUCCAGCUCAAUAGCGUAUAUUUAAGUUGUUGCAGUUAAAAAAAGCUCGUAGUUGGACUUUUGGGACGGGUCGGUCGGUCCGCCUGGCGGUGUGCACCCGGUCCCCAUCCCCCAUCUGUCGGCGAUGCGUGCCGGCCUUAAUCUGGCUGGGUCGUGCCUCCAAAGCCUGUUACUUUGAAGAAAUUAGAGUGCUCAAAAGCAAGCCCACGCUGGAUACAUUAGCAUGGGAUAACAACACAGGAUUUCGGUCCUAUUGUGUUUGGCCUUUGGGAUCGGAGUAAUGAUUAAGAGGGACAGUCGGGGGCAUUCGUAUUUCAUAGUCAGAGGUGAAAUUCUUGGAUUUAUGAAAGACGAACCACUGCGAAAGCAUUUGCCAAGGAUGUUUUCAUUAAUCAAGAACGAAAGUUGGGGGCUCGAAGACGAUCAAAUACCGUCCUAGUCUCAACCAUAAACGAUGCCGACCAGGGAUCGGCGGAUGGUGCUCUUAGGACUCCGCCGGCACCUUAUGAGAAAUCAAAGUCUUUGGGUUCCGGGGGGAGUAUGGUCGCAUGGCUGAAACUUAAAGGAAUUGACGGAAGGGCACCACUAGGAGUGGAGCCUGCGGCUUAAUUUGACUCAACACGGGGAAACUUAUCACCGACCGCAUAGCGCAGUGGAUUAGCGCGUCUGACUUCGGAUAAGGUUCAUGAUUGGAAUAACUAUAAUAGUAGGCCAUUUAAGCCCUAAGGCGACGUUACUGUAGCGGCGGGCGGCGAUACUGUAGCGGCGACCAGAUCUAGGGCGACGGUACUAUAGCGGCGACCAGAUCUCCCUAGGACGAUCUGACUCCUGCAUCGUUGGCUUUCUCCCACGGGCGAAGGGCGAUGGCAAUCAGUGUGGUGAUCGAGAUCUCCCAAAGGCGGCCUUUAUCAGAAGCGGCGGCGGCCCAAUCUAGGGCUGACGGUACUGUAGCGACAACCAUAUCUCCCUUGGCAAGCGAUCUAACUCCUGCAGCGUCGGCUUCCUCCCACG
rnacentral:rRNA from 1 species